GACGAACGCUGGCGGCGUGCUUAACACAUGCCAGUCGAACGGAAAGGCCUGCUUUCCCUUAUGGAUUGCGGGUACUCGAGUGGCGAACGGGUGAGUAACACGUGAGUGAUCUGCCCCCAACUUGGGUAUAAGCCUGGGAAACUGGGUCUAAUUCCCGAUAGGACUGCAGGGUGGUGCCUGUGGUGGAAAACGAUUUUCUAGUGGUUGGGGAUGAGCUCGCGGCCUAUCAGCUUGUUGGUGGGGUAAUGGCCUACCAAGGCGGCGACGGGUAGCCGGCCUGAGAGGGUGGACGGCGACAUUGGGACUGGGAUACGGCCCAGACUCCUACGGGAGGCAGCAGUGGGGAAUAUUGCACAAUGGGCGGAAGCCUGAUGCAGCGACGCCGCGUGGGGGAUGACGGCCUUCGGGUUGUAAACUCCUUUCGACCGCGAGGAAGCCACCUGGUUGGAAGGGUGGUGACGGUAGUGGUAGAAGAAGCACCGGCUAACUACGUG
rnacentral:rRNA from 1 species